UUUACGUUUUUGGAAGAACAACCCGAACACAACUUUGAAAGUACGCACAGCACCGGUUUCGUAUUCAUUGGUCACCUUCAAUCCACCACUAUCACCGCCAACAUAAAUAUUGUUUUAAAUUUUCAGGAGAGAAGUUUCAAAGGGGAAAUAAUUUAAUUCAGCGAAGACGCUGAGAAAUAAUUUGCAAUCAUGUCAGAAGCCACCUCGUUAAACAACAGCGGCACGAAGCUGAUGAUUUACAACAGUCUGACUCGCAAGAAGGAGGUGUUCACUCCGCAGAAUGGCAACAACAUCACCUGGUACUCUUGCGGACCCACAGUCUACGAUGCCUCCCACAUGGGCCACGCCCGCUCCUACAUGUCCUUCGACAUCCUGCGGAGGGUCCUGAGAGACUACUUUGGCUACGACAUUACUUACGUCAUGAACAUCACCGACAUCGACGACAAGAUCAUCAAAAGAGCCAGGCAGAAUUAUUUGUACGAAAAGUACGCAGCCGAGUCGAGUGAGCUGGAAACUCUCCGAAAAGAUGUCGAGGAAUCUGUCGGCCGUCUAGCCAAACAAAUGGCGGUGACCACCGAUCCCGAUAAGAAAGUCAUGCAGGAGACGAUGCUGGCCAAAGUCACCGCCGCCAUUAACAAAUCGGCCGAAAUAACCAUCAAAGCUGCGGAUGGUCUAUGCCACGAUGCCAAGAGCUUUUUGUUGGCGGAAGCCAAAGACGUUUUGAGCGACUGGCUCGACUCCAAGCACGGCAUGGACGUUUCGGACAACGCCAUUUUCGCUUCACUCCCGCGAUACUGGGAGGAGGAAUUCUACAAAGACAUGGCCGCUCUCAACGUCCUACCCGCCGACGUGAUUACUCGCGUCAGCGAAUACGUCCCGGAGAUUGUCGAUUACAUCGCCAAAAUUAUGGAACGUGGAUUUGCAUAUUCGGCCAAUGGCUCUGUGUACUUUGAUGUCUCCAAAUUCGAUUCGCAAAAGAAUCACAAGUACGCCAAAUUGGUGCCGGAGGCUUACGGCGACUCCAAAGCCCUGCAGGAAGGCGAAGGCGAUCUGAGCGUCUCCGAAGAUCGUCUGAGCGAGAAGAAAUCGCCCAACGAUUUCGCCCUGUGGAAAAAUUCCAAGAGCGGCGAGCCUUCGUGGGAUUCUCCAUGGGGAAAAGGACGUCCUGGUUGGCAUAUUGAAUGCAGCGUGAUGGCCAGUGCAAUUUUGGGGUCGUCAAUGGAUUUUCACACGGGCGGCGUCGACCUCAAGUUCCCCCAUCACGACAACGAACUUGCCCAGUCUGAAGCCUAUUACGAUAACGACGAAUGGGUUCGCUAUUUCCUUCACACCGGUCAUCUGACCAUCCAGGGUUGCAAAAUGUCCAAAUCGCUCAAGAACUUCAUCACGAUCCAAGAUGCGCUGAGUCGCAACAGCAGCCGCGAAUUGCGUAUCUUCUUCCUGCUGCACCAGUGGAAGGAAACGCUCGACUACAGCGACAGCGCCAUGGAAGAAGCCUCGAGCUACGAGAAAAUGCUCAGGGAAUUCUUCCUCAACGCCAAGGAUCUCUUGAGGAGCGGCCCGACUGCUGCCGCCAUCACCGCCCAUCAGCAGCAACAUUUCCAAAAAUGGAGCGACGCCGAGCGGGAACUCAACCAGCGGUUCGUCCAAGCCAAAAAUCGAGUGCGCCAAGCUCUCUGCGAUAAUAUCGACACUAAAACUUCCUUGGAGGCCAUCAAGAGCCUGAUUUCAGACUGCAACAAAUAUCUGGCGCGGAUGAAACGAUCGGCCAACCGGGUGCUGAUCAAGUCCGUCGCCGAAUACGUCACACGAUUGUUCCAGAUCUUUGGCGUGAUCGAAGGCAAGCAAACCCUCGGAUUUCCCAGCACUGAAUCGUCUGCUGGCGGACCAGGUAAUAAUGACAUUAGCGCCGAAGAAAUCGUCAUGCCCGUCCUGGAAGCGCUGGCGGAAUUCCGGGAAGAAGUGAGGAAAGAAGCUCGACAGUUAGGGGCGAAGCCAGUUCUGGAACUUUGCGAUCGAUUUCGAGAUGAUGUCUUGCCCAGCUUGGGCGUACGACUGGAAGAUCGUGAGGGUCAACCACCUGCUUUGAAGCUCGUCCCGCGUGAUGAACUCCUCAAGGAGAUGAAACUUCUCAAGGAGAAACUCCUUACGGAGAAAGAAGAGAGAAAGGAUGCCAGACAAGCUGAGCUAAAUCGUAAAAAGAUACAGUUAGAAGAAUUGCGAGAAGCAAGGGAUGCCAGACGAGCUGCGUUAAAUCAUCAAUAGACUUUAUUUUAUUAGAAGAAUUGCGAAAAGAAAGACGAAAUGAAAUCGGUCAAACGGAUAAGUAGUCUGCUUUCAACGAAAGAGAUGCCAAUUCUGGAGCUUAACAAGUUGGAGAAAGAAUUAAUGAGUUAAUUUCUAGUACACGAGUAAGAUUUUAGAUGUAUUCGAUUCAACCAAUUACAAAUACAAUCAUUCAUAUGGCAACCAUCAGAGUAUGUAAGUGCGGUUUGAUUCGACAGGUUAUCGUUAUUUUCAAUCGAUCCACGAUUUCACUCUGACUUCAAAGUAGCGCGAAGCAAACGUGCUGCCAAUCAGACCAACCUUUUUCCGUUUCUAAUUCAAUUCAUCGCUAUCCUUGUCGACUCUUGCGCAAGUCUGUGCUGUGCAAGAAUAUCAAAUUCGGAAAAGAAAUACAUUUUUUAAAAAAGACCGCGCAUUUGUUUAAAAAAAAGAAAGGAAAAAAAUUCAAAAGAUUUCAUUCUUGAACGCUAGGUGGCUUCGAGGAUGAUGACAUUAAUAGAUAUGUGUGAAUAAGAUUUUUUUUUUUUUAUCGAAGUAUCAAAGUCUAACGAGCCGGUAGCGAUUCCUCCUUCCUAAACGUUGCUGCUUAUCGCUCUAUGUCAAUUUUACUUUCCGACUUGUUGGUUUGCCGAAAAAAACUUUUGAAAACUUUCAAGGAUGUUGGCAAGUUUAGGAUCUUAAUACUUUUGGUGUAAUAACAACCAGCAAUAACGCGGAGCAAUUUCUCGACUGUGUUUAACGCUGUUAUUCUUUGAACGACAUUAAUUUUUAAAAUGUCGACACAGUUCGAACUUGUUUGAAAUCGGGUGUUGGCAUUGAUCGAGUUGAGAGAUGGCGGAGAUGUGGCCAAUUAAAGUAGUUGGAAUAAACCCUUUGGUUGGCUGCAAUCCAGUCUAAGAAGUAAGACACCUGAGUGUAGAUACCUGAAAGAACAAUACUAGCGAUUUAGUACAUUUUUAUCCCACAAAAAUUCACGGUUGUUUAAAAAUAAUUCAUUUAAAAAAAAUGUCGGAAUGGAAUGAUGUGGCUAAUGUGGCGAUCAAGAUUCCUGCAUCCGCAUGUAACCAGUUAACUUGACUGUCAUUUGAGAUAACAACGAAGGGCAUUAUGCCAUUCCGCAUUGUAUCGUACGUACCAGGAUAAGAAGCUAAAGCGCAUCCUUCGCCCCAGGAGACAAUUCCGUAAAGGACGGCCGUCUCACCACUGCCUGUGAACAGCGGGCCGCCAGAGUCUCCCUGACAAGAAUCAAGGCCGCCUGUGGGUAUACAAAAAUAGAAACAAUUUCAUUUUAUUUUUAUUUUUUCACUCAACAGCGCAUCCCACCAAAUUCUAUUUUGUGAAUUACCCUUUUUCAUGUCACCAGCACACAUCAUCGACGGAAGAACGAUUCGAUUUUCGGAAUCACCACCGUAAGCCUUGUCGCAAACUUGGUCGGAAACCACCGUGAUGUUGACACUUCGGAGAAGGUCAGAGAGCCUGUCAUUUGACCAGGAUGCAGACUAUAUCCGAUUUUAAAAAAAAAAUGAAAUAAAAAUAUUUCAAUGUUAUCAGUGAUUUGCAAUUCCAAGAUAGAGAUCAAAGUUUAUAUUACAUUCGUGAAUCCCCAUCCGGAUACGUUGACGUGAGUUCCAGCCGGCGGAUCGUACUGAGAGGUAGGCUCCG